AUUUUGACGGCGCGCUAUUCUUCAAAUACUAAGUGAUGUGAUGCGACGAACGGGAGCAAUGGGCGGUGAAGCAGGGAACAAGAAAUUUCUUGUUGUGAAGUUUCCUGAUGAAGAAGAAAGCAUCGCCACAGUCCACAUUAAUUGGAUGGCAGAGGGAAAAUGUCUUUGGCCAAACGAGAAAGAUCCGUCAAGGCUGCGUCAGAUGGUAAUAAAUGGCGCAACACCACAACAGAGCUGGGCUAAGCACAACUGUAUUGUGCUUUCGUCAUUCGAUACAUAUGGAGAAGCACAGCAGAAAC